rnacentral:rRNA from 1 species
UACGUAGGGCGCAAGCGUUAUCCGGAUUUAUUGGGCGUAAAGAGCUCGUAGGCGGUUUGUCGCGUCUGUCGUGAAAGUCCGGGGCUUAACCCCGGAUCUGCGGUGGGUACGGGCAGACUAGAGUGAUGUAGGGGAGACUGGAAUUCCUGGUGUAGCGGUGAAAUGCGCAGAUAUCAGGAGGAACACCGAUGGCGAAGGCAGGUCUCUGGGCAUUAACUGACGCUGAGGAGCGAAAGCAUGGGGAGCGAACAGG